GACGGAGGAUCCUAGCGUUGUUCGGAAUUAUUGGGCGUAAAGCGGGUGUAGGUGGUCUUUGUAAGUCAGGUGUAGAAACGCCCGAGGGCUCAACCCGUGGAAGUGCAUUUGAUACUGCGAAGCUUGAGUGUAGGAGAGGUUACUAGAAUUCUUGGUGUAGUGGUGAAAUACGUAGAUAUCAAGAGGAAUACCGGUGGCGAAGG
rnacentral:rRNA from 1 species